rnacentral:rRNA from 1 species
GCGUAAUAGCUCACUGGUCGAGUCGGCCUGCGCGGAAGAUGUAACGGGGCUAAACCAUGCACCGAAGCUGCGGCAGCGACACUAUGUGUUGUUGGGUAGGGGAGCGUUCUGUAAGCCUGCGAAGGUGACCUGUGAGGGUUGCUGGAGGUAUCAGAAGUGCGAAUGCUGACAUAAGUAACGAUAAAGCGGGUGAAAAGCCCGCUCGCCGGAAGACCAAGGGUUCCUGUCCAACGUUAAUCGGGGCAGGGUGAGUCGACCCCUAAGGCGAGGCCGAAAGGCGUAGUCGAUGGGAAACAGGUUAAUAUUCCUGUACUUGGUGUUACUGCGAAGGGGGGACGGAGAAGGCUAUGUUAGCCGGGCGACGGUUGUCCCGGUUUAAGCAUGUAGGCUGAUUGUCCAGGCAAAUCCGGAUAAUCAAGGCUGAGGUGUGAUGACGAGGCACUACGGUGCUGAAGUAACAAAUGCCCUGCUUCCAGGAAAAGCCUCUAAGCAUCAGGUAACAUCAAAUCGUACCCCAAACCGACACAGGUGGUCAGGUAGAGAAUACCAAGGCGCUUGAGAGAACUCGGGUGAAGGAACUAGGCAAAAUGGUGCCGUAACUUCGGGAGAAGGCACGCUGGUGUGUAGGUGA